GGUGGCAAAAAAAAAACAAAAAAAACAACAACAGAAAAACGUAAAAAAAAAAGAAGGUUGUCUCGAGAGCAAAAGUUGAUUCGACAACAGAGAUCAGAUUCAGUCGACGAUGGAUCAGACAACCUCUAUUUUUGAAUUGUAAAACCCAGAGUAAGAUCCAUCAUCAAUCUGUCUUAAUGGAGUUCCCGAUGUCGUCUUCAAUUAAUAAGUGAGCGUUUUAGUAGAGCUUGAAAAUCUAUAGAAGAAUAUGGGUAUUCUUUAAAAGAUAAGUAAUGAUACCCAUUUCUUUAUUUGUAAAUACCUAUGACUUAUCUAUCCAAAAACUCUAAUCUUUUAUUUUACCUGGUCAGGGUUAAAUUACUUUCAAUAAGAGGAAGUCUAGAGACAACAAUUGGAUUGAAGUUUGGCCUAAAACUUACCAUAUAGUUUUGGAUUUCUUUUUCCUUGCAAGUAGGGAAAAAUUUCUUCUACAAUGGAUCACUAAGAUUUUGUAAAUCAAGCAGUUUAAACAGAAAUCUCGGAGAAGAACAUAGUGGAAGAGAAUAAAAAUCUGUGUAUUAAAUUGUUGAAGAUAAACAAUUGUCAACUUUAUAUUUAUGGGUUAUGUAAUUUUAUAAAGGAUGGGCUUGGGCUAGUCCAAACGAUUGUUUUGAAAAUAUUUUCGGAUUGUAAUCGUGGAGCCCAAAUUUCCAUUUUUACUAAUAAAGACAGUGGCAGUGUUGGAAAUAA